rnacentral:rRNA from 1 species
GACGAACGCUGGCGGCGUGCCUAAUACAUGCAAGUCGAACGCUUCUUUCCUCCCGAGUGCUUGCACUCAAUUGGAAAGAGGAGUGGCGGACGGGUGAGUAACACGUGGGUAACCUACCCAUCAGAGGGGGAUAACACUUGGAAACAGGUGCUAAUACCGCAUAACAGUUUAUGCCGCAUGGCAUAAGAGUGAAAGGCGCUUUCGGGUGUCGCUGAUGGAUGGACCCGCGGUGCAUUAGCUAGUUGGUGAGGUAACGGCUCACCAAGGCCACGAUGCAUAGCCGACCUGAGAGGGUGAUCGGCCACACUGGGACUGAGACACGGCCCAGACUCCUACGGGAGGCAGCAGUAGGGAAUCUUCGGCAAUGGACGAAAGUCUGACCGAGCAACGCCGCGUGAGUGAAGAAGGUGUUCGGAUCGUAAAACUCUGCUGUUAGAGAAGAACAAGGACGUUAGUAACUGAACGUCCCCUGACGGUAUCUAACCAGAAAGCCACGGCUAACUACGUG